rnacentral:misc_RNA from 1 species
AAGUCGUAACAAGGUCUCCGUUGGUGAACCAGCGGAGGGAUCAUUACGAAAAGAGUAUUCUGUACUCGUAAACCCUUUGUGAACAUACCUCAGUUAGUUGCUUCGGCGGGAGGCUCCCUAGUGGGGUCCUGGGGCCCGGCCGUAUGCCCGGGCUCCCGCCGAAGGAGCGCCAACCAAACUCUUGUUGUAACCCAGUGGUAUAUCCGAGUCAAAACAAGAAAACAAGUUAAAACUUUCAACAACGGAUCUCUUGGUUCUG